CUGCCAUCUCCAGUCAGCAGUCAGCAAUAUAGGAGGCUGCCAUGACAGCCCCCACCCCAGCGCAUCCAACUCUGCUCUGCAUUCAGGAGAGAGCAAAAGCAGCUGCAAACAAUCACCUGUCUGGGACGGUCACCGCAUCUGUCACCCAUGGUUCGCCGAGAGCAGGCAGACGUGGCGGCGAAGCUAGGACUGCGCUGCAGGGCUCAAGCUUCAAAUGCGUGAUAAUAAAUGGAUGAAGACAAUAAAGUUUUAUAAGUACA